UACGGAGGAGGCAAGCGUUAUCCGGAAUUAUUGGGCGUAAAGCGUCCGUAGGUGGGUGAGGAAGUCUGCUGUUAAAGGGUGAGGCUUAACCUCAUAAGGGCAGUGGAAACUCUUCGUCUAGAGUGCGACAGGGGCAAGGGGAAUUCCUAGUGUAGCGGUGAAAUGCGUAGAGAUUAGGAAGAACACCGGUGGCGAAAGCGCCUUGCUGGGUCUGCACUGACACUGAGGGACGAAAGCUAGGGGAGCGAAAGGG
rnacentral:rRNA from 1 species